CCUACGUGCGGCAGCAGUGAGGAAUAUUGGUCAAUGGGCGCGAGCCUGAACCAGCCAAGUCGCGUGAGGGAUGACUGCCCUACGGGUUGUAAACCUCUUUUGUCGGGGAGCAACGGGCGCCACGUGUGGCUCCACUGAGAUUACCCGGAGCAAAAGCAUCGGCUAACUCCGUGCCAGCAGCCGCGGGAAGACGGAGGAUGCAAUCGUUAGCCGGAUUUAUUGGGUUUAAAGGGUGCGCGGUCGGAUCGUAAAUUCAGUGGUCAAAUUGAGGGGCUCAACCCCAACCCGCCAUUGAAACUGGCGCUCUUGAGUGGAAGAGAAGUAUGCGGAAUGCGUGGUGUAGCGGUGAAAUGCAUAGAUAUCACGCAGAACCCCGAUUGCGAAGGCAGCAUGCCGGCUUCCGACUGACGCUGAAGCACGAAAGCGUGGGGAUCGAACAGGAUUAGAUACCCGGGUAGUC
rnacentral:rRNA from 1 species